UACGUAGGGAGCAAGCGUUGUCCGGAAUCAUUGGGCGUAAAGCGCGCGUAGGUGGCCUCAUAAGUCCGCUGUGAAAGUCAAAGGCUCAACCUUUGAAAGCCGGUGGAUACUGUGAGGCUAGAGUACGGAAGAGGCGAGUGGAAUUCCCGGUGUAGAGGUGAAAUUCGUAGAUAUCGGGAGGAACACCAGUGGCGAAGGCGGCUCUCUGGGCAGAUACUGACACUCAGACGCGAAAGCGUGGGUAGCAAACAGG
rnacentral:rRNA from 1 species